rnacentral:lncRNA from 1 species
CUUGAACAACAUGUUAGAAUGCAUAAACUUUCGGUAUCAACAAAAAAGAGCAGAAUAUCUUGCUGAAGCGAAGUGCAACAUCCAUAUGAAAGCAUGGUCUCGCUCUCACAAAGCUAGCAUCAACCCACACCUUGGACAAUCUGUUAAACUUACUGCUGGAACAUAGAAAGUCUUCUGUGCUUUGCAAUGGCGUGUAGAAAAGUAUGAAGCCAGUUGGAUUCUUCUCUUAGUUAUCAUUAAAACAUUCUCGUGAGUAACAACUCGAAGAGAUCUCUGAUGGUUCAAAGUCAAAACACUGUCACAUAAGUCUAGGAAUCAUGCACUGGUAAAACCACACUAGAGCAUGAUUGUGAAUGACCAAUAUCAAAAUGUUACAAUUGAGUGUUUUUGAAGUAUAAACUUGUAUGAUUCAAUUUACCAGUCAGCUAUCUUGCUCAUUUGGUGUCAGAAUUGCCAUUGUAUUUUUUUCAAUUUCAUUCCCUAAUGAGAACAUUUCUCCAACCUAAUGUUUUCAGCAUCA